GUGGGGAAUAUUGCGCAAUGGGGGAAACCCUGACGCAGCAACGCCGCGUGAGUGAUGAAGGCUUUCGAGUCGUAAAACUCUGUCUUUGGGGACGAAUAAUGACGGUACCCAAGGAGGAAGCCCCGGCUAACUACGUGCCAGCAGCCGCGGUAAUACGUAGGGGGCAAGCGUUAUCCGGAAUCACUGGGCGUAAAGGGCGCGUAGGCGGUUUGUUAAGUCAGGUGUGAAAGUUUUCAGCUUAACUGGAAAAGUGCACUUGAAACUAACUUACUUGAGUACUGGAGAGGUAAGCGGAAUUCCUAGUGUAGCGGUGAAAUGCGUAGAUAUUAGGAAGAACACCGGUGGCGAAGGCGGCUUACUGGACAGAGACUGACGCUGAGGCGCGAAAGCGUGGGGAGCGAACAGGAUUAGAAACCCUAGUAGUCC
rnacentral:rRNA from 1 species